rnacentral:rRNA from 1 species
CUGCCUUUCAUUUCCGACCUCAGAUCGGACGAGAUUACCCGCUGAAUUUAAGCAUAUCACUAAGCGGAGGAAAAGAAACU